CCUACGGGAGGCAGCAGUGGGGAAUAUUGCACAAUGGGCGAAAGCCUGAUGCAGCGACGCCGCGUGAGGGAUGACGGCCUUCGGGUUGUAAACCUCUUUCAGCAGGGAAGAAGCGCAAGUGACGGUACCUGCAGAAGAAGCACCGGCUAACUACGUGCCAGCAGCCGCGGUAAUACGUAGGGUGCGAGCGUUGUCCGGAAUUAUUGGGCGUAAAGAGCUCGUAGGCGGUCUGUCACGUCGGAUGUGAAAGCCCGGGGCUUAACCCCGGGUCUGCAUUCGAUACGGGCAGACUAGAGUGUGGUAGGGGAGAUCGGAAUUCCUGGUGUAGCGGUGAAAUGCGCAGAUAUCAGGAGGAACACCGGUGGCGAAGGCGGAUCUCUGGGCCAUUACUGACGCUGAGGAGCGAAAGCGUGGGGAGCGAACAGGAUUAGAUACCCUGGUAGUCCACGCCGUAAACGUUGGGAACUAGGUGUUGGCGACAUUCCACGUCGUCGGUGCCGCAGCUAACGCAUUAAGUUCCCCGCCUGGGAGUCGGCCGCAAGGCAAACUCAAAGGAUUGACGGCUGNGAGUGCGAGGCGACGACGAGGGAGGAGG
rnacentral:rRNA from 1 species